rnacentral:rRNA from 1 species
AUGGACAAGGACAACUUUGGCAGGCUCCGGUGGACAUGCCCACACUGCAAGCUUCAGGGUUUUUAUCUUCAGGAGUUCAUCACGGCUCAUCUUGCUAGCCACGCCCCGCAAGACGGAGCUGGAGGCGGCGCGCAGGGCGGCGGAGGAGGCUCAGGCGGUGGAGGCUCAGUCGGAGGAGGAGGUGGAGGAGGAAGUGGAGUAAGUGCCUAG